rnacentral:tRNA from 1 species
GGUCCCAUAGUUCAAUGGAUAGAACGCUGGUCUACGGAACCUGAAAUGGCAGUUCGACUCUGCCUGGGACUA